rnacentral:rRNA from 1 species
UACGUAGGGUGCGAGCGUUGUCCGGAAUUAUUGGGCGUAAAGAGCGUGUAGGCGGUCUGCCGCGUCUGCUGUGAAAAUCCGGGGCUCAACCCCGGACUUGCAGUGGGUACGGGCAGACUAGAGUGUGGUAGGGGAGACUGGAAUUCCUGGUGUAGCGGUGAAAUGCGCAGAUAUCAGGAGGAACACCGAUGGCGAAGGCAGGUCUCUGGGCCACUACUGACGCUGAGAAGCGAAAGCGUGGGGAGCGAACAGG